CCCAUCAUCAAUUCCACGACAAGCCAAGAAAGAGGAGAUCAAUAUAAUCUCUAUCUCGGCUGCGCACUGCAGGGCACUCUCUACCUGAAGUCUCUCCACGGGCCUGAUGUCUACGUUCCUCUUGCCUUGGUGUCUCCAGCUGUGGUUCCCCCGUGCAGUCUCAGAUUGCCUGGGUCUCCAAGUCCCCCUGAAUUCCACACGUGGUCUUAAAAACAUCUGGGUCCCUGGGAUGAGCCAGACGGAGACUUGAGGUCAAAGACUGAUCAUCAUCACCUUUGUGUCACCAAUUGCCUGUACAAUGCCUGGUGUGUAACAGAGAAGCCAAACAUGUUUGGACAAGGCUUGGUCUUGAGCAGAGACUGUCUCACCGGCUCCUCCUUCUCUGAGCAGAGGUCCCCCGGAAGCCCCCUUGGUACUACCUGCAAAGGUAAGUCUGAAAACACCUGAUGGUGGUUACUUAGCAAGGUUCACCUCUUUAAGGAAAUCAAGUUUCUUUGAUAGCUGACUCCACAGUGUGAUAAAGUGAUGUUUUGCCCCUGCAUUCCCAAAAAAACCAAAUCUGGUAACAUUGACAAGGUACAUAACUGAGUAUCUUAGGCAGUAUCAGGGCAAAAAUAGAGGCUUUGUAAAUGCAGAUCACAGGAAGUUAGAGGUUUCCUGACUUCCUCCUUCUAAGGCAAGGAAGCAGCUACAAUGACAUUUAUACAUUCAGUAUUAUAAAAUAAAACUUAUAACAAUAUUCAUGACAUUAGGUACUAUCAGCUACAUGCAGUUUAAAGGACUAAAUUCCCUCUAGCUAAGUACUAGUAUUAUACAUUUUUACAUCUGUUUAUACUUCCCUCCUUAUGAGCAUUUUUAAAAAAAGCACAAAGCAAGUUUCUUGGAUCCAUGAAUUUCUUCACAUAGGUCCUUUUCUCAACAUUGGGAUGGAGGAGGUUAGGGAGCUAAGCUACUUUUGAAAUUAAACAAAAGGUCAAAGAUACCUUGUUAGCCUACCCUCAUUUCUAUGAUUUCUGAGUAAGCUAUGAAUGAACCCUGGUUGCAGCAAUGUUAAAAGGACUGUAAAGGCAAGACUUUAUCUAGGACAAUGUACUAAAAUACUAAUUUAAUAGAGCUUUUGAACUAGGCCAAAUGUGCCUUUCAGAUAUUUCCAUAAACUUUCCAUUGGCUUCACCACUGGGAUUUGCAAGUGAGAAUUUAAGGGCAAGAUUUGUCCUAAAUGGGUUUUUUUUUUUUUUUCCUCUUGUAUUGACCUUUCACAACCUCCAGUUAAACGCUGUCCAAAUUAAGUAUUUCUGGACUUACAUAUACCUCUUAGAAUAUUGCUUUAAAGUUGCAUUUUUAUCUGCUUCCUAGAAAGUGGCUCUCAUUUGUAUGUAGGCUGCCUCAUGUAAAAUUUUAUUAUUUCAAACUAAAAAUGAGUAUUUCCUUGUCUUUAUUUAUCAUGGCAAAUUCUGCCAUAGUGGAAAAAGUGAAUUUCAAUUCAUCAUGGUGAUUCAGCUGUGUGUUUUCAUUUUACAUUUUGGUAGAAUUUGUUGCAGUGCAGCCCGUGUUGGCAAAUACAAGAACAUUUUUUUUAAGGCAUUCUGUACUCAGAGUGUUCUCAAAGCAAUUCCCAUAUGAGUUAUAUUUCAACAAGCAAACAAACUGUCACUUUCAUCAAACAGCUUGACUUUGUAUUCCUACAGAAAAAAGUAAGCCUGGCUAGUAUUUACAUUGUAAAUACAUGGAAUGAAUUUAUAUAAGAAGUAAUUUUAAAUCUAGUCAAAAAUAGAUUAGAAUUGGAAAGACUGUGUUCUGAUAUGGGAAAAAUAAUCUGAGAACAUACUAGCUAAGAAACCUAUAGAGUUUUUUUAAAAAACUCAUUUCAGUUCUUUGCAUUUUCUAUCAGGAUUGGUGGUCCUUAGCGCCAAAUUCUCUUCUUAAUAAAUAGCAUUUUAAUAAUAGCUAUUGCUAAGUUUCAAAUUUCCUGGUCUAGGGAGCUCAUGGAAUUAAUGGAUUUUUCCUACAUCUCAAACUUAAUGCUUAGAGCAACUUAAGCAUGGAGAAAAGUCGAAUAAUUAGAGAAUAACUAUUGAUUAUGGCCGUGGCAAUUCCAUGGUAUAUGAAAGGAAAUAUUAAUGUGAUUUAGGAGUCUGGAAAGUAUUAGCGAAAUCAAGAAAGAAACGUGGAGGAAUCACAAAGAUUUAAUUUAUUUGCAAGAUAAUUUUAGUUAAAUUAUAUUUGCCUUAAGAAUCUAAUGGAUCUAAUAGGGGUGUGUGUGUGGGGGUGCCUAUAAUUAAGAUACUAAUUUCUAUGUCUUUUAUGAAAACCAUUCUCUUUGGGUGAAUACAGGUCCCUUAUCCAAAUAAAAAUACCCUAAAACUAGUUUCUAGCUUCCUCCAAUUUCGUCAGAUCUAAGUACAUAAAGCAGAUGUGUGCCUUAUAAUAAAUCAUGUUACUGCAAUAUGCAGCUUGAAUCUAUUAGCUUAAAUUCUUGAUGGUUGAUUAGAAAUCAUACAUACCCUAUAUAAAAUUAGUAUUAGCUCAGCCCUUUUUAUACUGUUGUCAUUCUGACUUGACUCUAUUCUGCAAUUUCAUAAGCACAUGAUAAACAUUACCAAGCCUGUACCAAAAAACAAAGUAUUAGCGACUUUGCCAAAAAACUUGCUAACAUGGAAAACAGGGUGUGCCUCUUUAUAUCAUUGCAAUGAGAUUUUAUUAACCUAAAGACCACUGCCCAUAUAUCUGAAAUUCUAUAAUAUUUCUUUUACUUUAAGAAGUAUAUGAGAUUCAUUACUUUCAAAAAUGGUUGUUUAGUGUUAUAUUGUGGCUAUACACUG